UCAACUGGGACCCCAAAAUCCACCUGAGACACCCAAAAAUUCACCUGAGAGACCCCAAAAUACACCUGAGACACCCUAAAAUUCAUCUGGAACCCCCCCAGAUCGGUAAUGGACAGUUCCACCCGCGGCUGGCGCGGGGGGGGCCGAAAGGUACCCCAAAAUUCACCUGAGACACCCCAAAAUUCACCUGAGACACCCCAAAAUUCAACUGGAACCCCCCCAAAUAGGUAAUGGACAGUUCCACCCGUGGCUGGCGUGGGGGGGGCCGAAAGGUACCCCAAAAUUCACCUGAGAGACCCAAAAUUCACCUGAGACACCCCAAAAUUCACCUGAGAGACCCCAAAAUUCACCUGAGACACCCCAAAAUUCACCUGAGACACCCCAAAGUUCAUCUGAGACACCCCAAAAUUCAUCUGGAACCCCCCAAAUAGGUAAUGGACAGUUCCACCCGCGGCUGGCGCGGGGGGGGCCGAAAGGUACCCCAAAAUUCACCUGAGAGACCCCAAAAUCCAUCUGAGACACCCCAAAAUUCAUCUGAGACACCCCAAAAUUCACCUGGAACCCCCCAGAUCGGUAAUGGACAGUUCCACCCGCGGCUGGCGCGGGGGGGGCCGAAAGGUACCCCAAAAUUCACCUGAGACACCCCAAAAUUCACCU